rnacentral:rRNA from 1 species
UAAGGAAUAUUGCGCAAUGGGGGAAACCCUGACGCAGCAACGCCGCGUGGAGGAUGACACUUUUCGGAGCGUAAACUCCUUUUAUCAGGAAAGAAUAAUGACGGUACCUGAUGAAUAAGCACCGGCUAACUCCGUGCCAGCAGCCGCGGUAAUACGGGGGGUGCAAGCGUUACUCGGAAUCACUGGGCGUAAAGGACGCGUAGGCGGAUUAUCAAGUCUUUUGUGAAAUCUAGUGGCUUAACCACUAAACUGCUUAGGAAACUGAUAGUCUAGAGUAGGGGAGAGGUAGAUGGAAUUCUUGGUGUAGGGGUAAAAUCCGUAGAGAUCAAGAAGAAUACCCAUUGCGAAAGCGAUCUGUUGGAACCUAACUGACGCUGAGGCGUGAAAGCGUGGGUAGCAAACAGG